rnacentral:rRNA from 1 species
GGGAAGAGCUCAAAUUUGAAAUCUGGCGUCCUCAGGGCGUCCGAGUUGUAAUCUAUAGAGGCGUUUUCCGUGCCGGACCGUGUCCAAGUUCCUUGGAACAGGAUAUCAAAGAGGGUGACAAUCCCGUACUUGACACGACGACCGGUGCUCUGUGAUACGUCUUCUACGAGUCGAGUUGUUUGGGAAUGCAGCUCAAAAUGGGUGGUGAGUUCCAUCUAAAGCUAAAUAUUGGCGAGAGACCGAUAGCGAACAAGUACCGUGAGGGAAAGAUGAAAAGCACUUUGGAAAGAGAGUUAAACAGUACGUGAAAUUGUUGAAAGGGAAACGAUUGAAGUCAGUCGUGACCGAGAGGCUCAGCCGGUUCUGCCGGUGUAUUCCCCUCGGUCGGGUCAACAUCAGUUUUGUCCGGUGGAUAAGGGCGGUAGGAAGGUGGCACCCUCGGGUGUGUUAUAGCCUGCCGUCGCAUACAUCGGGUGAGACUGAGGAACGCAGCUCGCCUUUAUGGCCGGGGUUCGCCCACGUCCGAGCUUAUGAUGUUGACAUAAUGGCUUUAAACGACCCGUCUUGA